GACGAACGCUGGCGGCGUGCUUAACACAUGCAAGUCGAACGGAAAGGCCCUGCUUUUGUGGGGUGCUCGAGUGGCGAACGGGUGAGUAACACGUGAGUAACCUGCCCUUGACUUUGGGAUAACUUCAGGAAACUGGGGCUAAUACCGGAUAGGAGCUCCUGCUGCAUGGUGGGGGUUGGAAAGUUUCGGCGGUUGGGGAUGGACUCGCGGCUUAUCAGCUUGUUGGUGGGGUAGUGGCUUACCAAGGAUUUGACGGGUAGCCGGCCUGAGAGGGUGGCCGGCCCCAGUGGGACUGAGAUACGGCCCAGACGCCUACGGGAGGCAGGAGUGGGGAAUAUUGCACAAUGGGCGGAGGCAUGAAGCAGCAACGCCGCGUGCGGGAUGACGGCCUUCGGGUUGUAAACCGUUUUCGCCUGUGACGAAGCGUGAGUGACGGUAAUGGGUAAAGAAGCACCGGCUAACUACGU
rnacentral:rRNA from 1 species